GGUGAACGCUGGCGGUGUGCCUAAUACAUGCAAGUCGAGCGAACAGACGAGGAGCUUACUCCUCUGACGUUAGCGGCGGACGGGUGAGUAACACGUGGAUAACCUACCUAUAAGACUGGGAUAACUUCGGGAAACCGGAGCUAAUACCGGAUAACAUGUUGAACCGCAUGGUUCAACAGUGAAAGACGGUCUUGCUGUCACUUAUAGAUGGAUCCGCGUCGCAUUAGCUAGUUGGUAAGGUAACGGCUUACCAAGGCAACGAUGCGUAGCCGACCUGAGAGGGUGAUCGGCCACACUGGAACUGAGACACGGUCCAGACUCCUACGGGAGGCAGCAGUAGGGAAUCUUCCGCAAUGGGCGAAAGCCUGACGGAGCAACGCCGCGUGAGUGAAGAAGGUCUUCGGAUCGUAAAACUCUGUUAUUAGGGAAGAACAAAUGUGUAAGUAACUAUGCACGUCUUGACGGUACCUAAUCAGAAAGCCACGGCUAACUACGUG
rnacentral:rRNA from 1 species